rnacentral:rRNA from 1 species
AUUGAACGCUGGCGGCAUGCCUUACACAUGCAAGUCGAACGGCAGCACGGACUUCGGUCUGGUGGCGAGUGGCGAACGGGUGAGUAAUGCAGCGGAACGUACCAUUGAGUGGGGGAUAACGUAGCGAAAGUUACGCUAAUACCGCAUAUUCUCUCCGGAGGAAAGCAGGGGAUCGUAAGACCGUGUGCUCUUUGAGCGGCCGAUGUCGGAUUAGCUAGUUGGUGGGGUAAAGGCCCACCAAGGCUACGAUCCGUAGCGGGUCUGAGAGGAUGAUCCGCCACACUGGGACUGAGACGCGGCCCAGACUCCUACGGGAGGCAGCAGUGGGGAAUUUUGGACAAUGGGGGCAACCCUGAUCCAGCCAUGCCGCGUGAGUGAAGAAGGCCUUCGGGUUGUAAAGCUCUUUCAGCCGGGAAGAAAACGCAUGGGUUAAUACCCUGUGUGGAUGACGGUACCGGAAUAAGAAGCACCGGCUAACUACGUGCCAGCCGCCGCGGUAA